GUCACAGAGGAAGUCUCCUCUCUGGGAUAAAUGAAGUCAAUGUGCAAGGAGAAACAGAGCUGAGAGAGGGAAUGCUAAAGCAGACCUUAAAGACAAUUGCAACAGUGAUUUCAGUUCUCACCCAGACCUGCGGAAGAUGCCAGACC